UACGGGGGGGCAAGGCGUUGUUCGGAAUUACUGGGCGUAAAGGGCGCGUAGGCGGUUUGCUAAGUUGAAUGUGAAAACUCUGGGCUUAACCCAGAGCCUGCAUUCAAUACUGGCAGGCUAGAGUUCUGGAGGGGAUAGCGGAAUUCCUGGUGUAGCGGUGAAAUGCGUAGAUAUCAGGAGGAACACCGGUGGCGAAGGCGGCUAUCUGGACAGAGUCUGACGCUGAGGUGCGAAAGCGUGGGGAGCAAACAGG
rnacentral:rRNA from 1 species